GUCUACGGCCAUAGCACCCUGAACACGCCCGAUCUCGUCUUUGGCGGAAGCUAAGCAGGGUCCGGCCUGCUUAGUACUUGGAUGGGAGAGUGGGAAGAGGAGUUAGCUGGCC
rnacentral:rRNA from 1 species